rnacentral:rRNA from 1 species
AGGAUGAACGCUGGCGGCAGGCCUAAUACAUGCAAGUCGUACGGCAACACAGUUGCGAGCAAUCGCAACCGGUGGCGAGUGGCGCACGGGUGAGUAACGCGUAUGUAACCUACCCUUCUCCGGGACAUAACUCCGCGAAAGCGGUGCUAAUAUCCCAUACCAACUCAUCAAGACAUCUUCUUGAGUUGAAAGCAGCAAUGCGGUGAAGGAUGGGCAUGCGUCCCAUUAGCUGGUUGGUGAGGUAAUGGCCCACCAAGGCUACGAUGGGUAGGGGUUCUGAGAGGAAAGCCCCCCACACUGGUACUGAGACACGGACCAGACUCCUACGGGAGGCAGCAGUAAGGAAUAUUGGGCAAUGGUCGAAAGACUGACCCAGCCAUGCCGCGUGCAGGAUGAAGGCCCUAUGGGUUGUAAACUGCUUUUAGCCGGGAAUAAACACCCGUUUUAUAACGGGCCCGAAGGUACCGGCUGAAUAAGCAUCGGCUAACUCCGUG